CCCCUCCUCCCAUCUGUUCGCCCCUCUUAACUGCAAGCAGCGGCACCGGCGUGCCCUCUCGGCCGCAAGAGCCGGCACCGGCGUGGGAUGGAAGCAGCCGCCACCGAGAGAAGCUCUGGUCUCCCGUCCUCACCCUCCAUGUCUCCUCUCAUCCACCGGGACAAGCCAAGAAGCGGAGGAGAGGGCCAGAGGCUGAGGAGGGACGAGCGGCGCACGCGAGAGGCUGCCCUACCUAUAUAUCUAAAUGGACUCGGAGCUCGGCCACGCCGAUUGGGCAGGGAUGGACAAGCUGGACAUGGACGGUGACGAGAGCGCGGCCAGGCCCGACUUCGCCUGCCCCUACUAUUUUCAGUGGCUAUAACUACAACUACAGUUUUAACUCAUGCGAUUGAAGAUGGUGUUGAUCGGCAACGUCCAGAUUUCUUUUGGCCCUGUUCUCCUGACGGAGAGGUGCUCACAUUUGGUUGAUCCUUUAAUGAUCGUUUGAUUGGAUCCCUUUGCAUGAUUUCAUCUGACCUCUAUGUCUUCAUUGAAGAUGGUGUUGGUCGGCAACGUCCAGAUUUCUUUGUGCUUUCUGGUACCUCUGAAGAAAGGGUGGUAGGCAUUCUCAGGCCAUCCACGCGUCCACCCUUUGCAAAUCUUACGUCUCGCAUGUGAAGCGAGCGAGCGCACAAAUAUCUCUCUCGCCAGCCCAUCUCUCUCUCUCUCCCUCGUCUCUUCUCAUCCCCCUCCUCCCAUCUGUUCGCCCCUCUUAACUGCAAGCAGCGGCACCGGCGUGCCCUCUCGGCCGCAAGAGCCGGCACCGGCGUGGGAUGGAAGCGGCCGCCACCGAGAGAAGCGAUGGCCUCCCCUCCUCACCCUCCCUGUCUCCUCUCAUCCACCGGGACAAGCCGAGAAGCGGAGGAGAGGGCCAGAGGCUGAGGAGGGACGAGCGGCGCACGCGAGAGUCUGCCCUACCUAUAUAUCUAAGACUCGGAGCUCGGCCACGCCGAUUGGGCGGGGAUGGACAAGCAUGACAUGGACGGCGACGAGAGCGCGGCCAGGCCCGACUUCGCCUGCCCCUACUAUUUUCAGUGGCUAUAACUACAACUGCAGUUUUAACUCAUGCGAUUGAAGAUGGUGUUGAUCGGCAACGUCCAUAUAUCUUUUGGCCCUGUUCUCCUGACGGAGAGGUGCUCACAUUUGAUUGAUCCUUUAAUGAUCGUUUGAUUGGAUCCCUUUGCAUGAUUUCAUCUGACCUCUAUGUCUUCAUUGAAGAUGGUGUUGGUCGGCAACGUCCAGAUUUCUUUGUGCUUUCUGGUACCUCUGAAGAAAGGGUGGUAGGCAUUCUCAGGCCAUCCAUGCGUCCACCCUUUGCAAAUAUUGUUCAUUUUCAUGUCACUCCCUCCCUAGCUUAUGUCGAUGACGCCUGGGCCCGGUCGUGUGGCCCUUUGCGUCCUGCACGUGAAGCGAGCGAGCGCACAAAUAUCUCUCUCGCCAGCCCAUCUCUCUCUCUCCCUCGUCUCUUCUCAUCCCCCUCCUCCCAUCUGUUCGCCCCUCUUAACUACAAGCAGCGGCACCGGCGUGCCCUCUCGGCCGCAAGAGCCGGCACCGGCAUGGGAUGGAAGCGGCCGCCACCGAGAGAAGCUCUGGCCUCCCCUCCUCACCCUUCCUGUCUCCUCUCAUCCACCGGGACAAGCCGAGAAGCGGAGGAGAGGGCCAGAGGCUGAGGAGGGACGAGCGGCGCACGCGAGAGGCUGCCCUACCUAUAUAUCUAAAUGGACUCGGAGCUCGGCCACGCCGAUUGGGCGGGGAUGGACAAGCUGGACAUGGACGGCGACGAGAGCGCGGCCAGGCCCGACUUCGCCUGCCCCUACUGUUUUCAGUGGCUAUAACUACAACUACAGUUUUAACUCAUGCGAUUGAAGAUGGUGUUGAUCGGCAAUGUCCAGAUUUCUUUUGGCCCUGUUCUCCUGACGACGAGGUGCUCACAUUUGGUUGAUCCUUUAAUGAUCGUUUGAUUGGAUCCCUUUGCAUGAUUUCAUCUGACCUCUAUGUCUUCAUUGAAGAUGGUGUUGGUCGGCAACGUCCAGAUUUCUUUGUGCUUUCUAGUACCUCUGAAAAUAAGAUUAUUACUAUGAAUUCAUCAGUUAAGCUUCUUCUCUAUUCGAAUUGAAUCUGAGAAGACCCUGGAGCAAUGACCUCUAUGUCUUCAUUCAGUUAUUAGGCUUGGGCAGAUCAAACCUGCAAAGUUCAGUGAAGAUUUCAAAGUACAGGUAGAUUACUUUGUGUUGCCCAUAGUCCUAUAACUAAUAUUGUUUCAUUAUAAACAUCCUUUAUGUGUUGCUUCAGUUAUAAGGCUCGGGCAGGCCAAAUCUGCAAAACUCGACAAAGAUUUCAAACUACAGGUACAUUAUUUUGUGUUUCCUACAAUCCUAGAUUUCUCUAGGAUGACCCAAACAAUAGACUGCGGGUAGGCUGUGUAUGAGACUAUAGACAUGCACAUGAUGUGGGUCUGCUUACAAUAAUUUUGCAAUGCCGAGAUUUGCUUAAUAAUUGUUUUUGUGCCAUAUACGCAUUAAAUUGCGUCAUGCCAAUCAGCACACCCUGGGAGUCCUCUCCUCCAACGCAUCUGCCUCACCCAACUAUCUAGAGGUAAUUAGUUUGAUCUGCUUCGGGUGAAGAUGCCCUCUAACAUGUGGCUUCUUAGUUGGACACGUUUAUGUUCAUGCAUGAUGCUCUUGCGGUGUUUAUUGAUUAUCAAUAGAUCUGAGAAAUUCUUUUUUUGCUUAAAAGUUUGAUUAUGCGUCUUUUCCUGCAAUUAAGUUCCUGAAAAAAAUGGUGAGUUCAACUUAGAGUUGUAGCAGUCCAUGUUUGCUGACAAUAGGAGCGCCCAUGUAUUAUAAGCUAAUAUAUGAUUCAGGUUGUGAUCAUUGAUUCAUAUGGUUAGUUGGUUUUUGAGAAAAAUAUACACACGCUUUCUUGACGGUCAAGGAGUUUCAGAUAGAUAUGAGAAAUUCUUUUUUUUUUUGCUUAAAAUUGUAAUUAUGCGUUUUCUCUGCAUUUAAGUUCCUGGAAAAAAUGGUGACUUCAAUUUAGAGUUAUAGCGGUCCAUGUUUUCUGACAAUAGGAGCACCCAUGUAUUAUGACUCAGGUUUGUAAACAGUCAUCCAUACCUUAGGUACGUAUGUUAAUGCAGAAGCACCACUAUUCAAAUAGACGUAGUAACCGUGUCAAUUUGAACAUUUUAGCAAGUUCAUGCAUUAACCUUAGGGUCCAUCAAUGAAACAAAGCCAAUCAUAUGAAUUGAAGUAGCUACUGAAAUAAAAUGGAAAGAACAAAGAGAAAAUUGAUGGUUAUCUGUAUGACAAUUCAGAGAAUGGGAUAGGAGAGGUGGUUCUUCCCAACAGGAAAAAGAGUGGAGUAUAGUACUGUUAUCCUACCUUUUCUACUACAAUCCCAGUUAGCAUAAUAAUAUGACAUGUAAAAUCAUAUUAUCGAUUCAAUUAUGAUUGAAGCGACAUGAACAAUUAUCCGUGAAAUUCACUUCUAAACCGAUGUAUAGCAUUUCACUUUCUAGAAAGGCGCUUGACUGGAAUGUAUAUGUAUAUAGUUAAUAAAAUCAUAGUGACUGAUUUUUCAAUUCCUCUAUUAUUUAGAUUAGAGGUGUCUGCAUGCCUAUUAGCCAAGUGAUUGGUAUUUCCAGCUCAAAAGAGAAAGUGACCAAUGUUUUGGCGUAUUUUCCUAUUAGGAAUAAAUGGAUGUGCCCAUGCACAUAUGCACACAGAUUUCAGGUUACAGUGUAAUUAAGAAACAAAUGAUACCUCAUUGUGUCGUCUUGGUCUGAGAAGAGAAAAAGACAUGCACUUCAGUAGCAAAAAAUUGAUUGUCAUUGUACUAUCUGUAAUGCUAAGCAUUUAUUUGCUAAUAUCUCCUCAACUGAAUUCGUAUUUUGUGCCAUUUGGCCUUUUAACUAUAUGGGCAUCUGCAGAUGGUCUGAAAACCAAGAUAUGCCAGAGAUAAUAACUAUACAGGCUGCUCCAGAUGGACUAAGGAAGGAAACAUAUCCUAGGCCUACAUGCUAAUAUUGUACACCAAUGAAUGCUUCACUUAUUUAUACUUAAUCGGUUGUGUAAUAAUAAGCGCGAUAUUAGCUUUUGUACCCAUCUUCAUGGUUGAAAUACUUUUCUGCAAUCUGUGACACGUUUGCUUCAGUUUCCA